rnacentral:rRNA from 1 species
GAUGAACGCUGGCGGCGUGCUUAACACAUGCAAGUCGAACGGAAAGGCCGAAGCUUGCUUCGGUACUCGAGUGGCGAACGGGUGAGUAGCACGUGGGUGAUCUGCCCUGUACUUCGGGAUAAGCUUGGGAAACUGGGUCUAAUACCGGAUAUGACGAUCUCUUGGAUGGGGUUGUGGAAAGCUUUUGCGGUAUGGGAUGAGCUCGCGGCCUAUCAGCUUGUUGGUGGGGUAAUGGCCUACCAAGGCGUCGACGGGUAGCCGGCCUGAGAGGGUGUACGGCCACAUUGGGACUGAGAUACGGCCCAGACUCCUACGGGAGGCAGCAGUGGGGAAUAUUGCACAAUGGGCGCAAGCCUGAUGCAGCGACGCCGCGUGGGGGAUGACGGCCUUCGGGUUGUAAACUCCUUUCGCAAUCGACGAAGCCUUUUGGUGACGGUAGGUUGAGAAGAAGCACCGGCUAACUACGUG